rnacentral:rRNA from 1 species
GACAGAGGUGCCGAGCGUUAGGCGGAAUCACUGGGCUUAAAGCGUGUGUAGGCGGGUGCCUAAGUACCUUGUGAAAUCCCACGGCUCAACCGUGGAACUGCUUGGUAUACUGGGUAUCUUGAGCCACUUAGGGGCAACCGGAACAAACGGUGGAGCGGUGAAAUGCGUAGAUAUCAGGAGGAACACCGAUGGCGAAGGCAGGUCUCUGGGCCACUACUGACGCUGAGAAGCGAAAGCAUGGGGAGCGAACAGG